AACGAACGCUGGCGGCAUGCCUAACACAUGCAAGUCGAACGAGGUAGCAAUACCUAGUGGCGGACGGGUGAGGAAUACGUAGGGAUCUGCCCUUAAGUGGGGAUAACCCGGGGAAACCCGGAUUAAUACCGCAUGAUCUCGCAAGAGCAAAGAGGGGGACCGCAAGGCCUCUCGCUUUUGGAGGAACCUACGUCGGAUUAGCUAGUUGGUGAGGUAAUGGCUCACCAAGGCGACGAUCCGUAACUGGUCUGAGAGGAUGAUCAGUCACACCGGAACUGAGACACGGUCCGGACUCCUACGGGAGGCAGCAGUGGGGAAUAUUGGACAAU
rnacentral:rRNA from 1 species